rnacentral:rRNA from 1 species
GCAUAUCAAUAAGCGGAGGAAAAGAAACCAACAGGGAUUGCCCCAGUAACGGCGAGUGAAGCGGCAACAGCUCAAAUUUGAAAUCUGGCCCUCGGGUCCGAGUUGUAAUUUGUAGAGGAUGCUUUUGGCGAGGUGCCUUCCGAGUUCCCUGGAACGGGACGCCAUAGAGGGUGAGAGCCCCGUCUGGUCGGACACCGAGCCUCUGUAAAGCUCCUUCAACGAGUCGAGUAGUUUGGGAAUGCUGCUCAAAAUGGGAGGUAUAUGUCUUCUAAAGCUAAAUAUUGGCCAGAGACCGAUAGCGCACAAGUAGAGUGAUCGAAAGAUGAAAAGCACUUUGAAAAGAGGGUUAAAAAGUACGUGAAAUUGUUGAAAGGGAAGCGCUUAUGACCAGACUUGCGCCCGGUGAAUCAUCCAGCGUUCUCGCUGGUGCACUUUGCCGGGCACAGGCCAGCAUCAGUUUGGCGCGGGGGAAAAAGGCUUCGGGAAUGUGGCUCCCUCGGGAGUGUUAUAGCCCGCUGCGUAAUACCCUGCGCCGGACUGAGGUACGCGCAUUGCAAGGAUGCUGGCGUAAUGGUCAUCAGCGACCCGUCUUGAAACACGGACCAAGGAGUCGUCUUCGUAUGCGAGUGUUCGGGUGUCAAACCCCUACGCGUAAUGAAAGUGAACGCAGGUGAGAGCUUCGGCGCAUCAUCGACCGAUCCUGAUGUUCUCGGAUGGAUUUGAGUAAGAGCAUACGGGGCCGGACCCGAAAGAAGGUGAACUAUGCCUGUAUAGGGUGAAGCCAGAGGAAACUCUGGUGGAGGCUCGCAGCGGUUCUGACGUGCGAAUCGAUCGUCAAAUAUGGGCAUGGGGGCGAAAGACUAAUCGAACCUUCUAGUAGCUGGUUUCCGCCGAAGU